CCAGUGGAAAGUGCAGGUAGAAGAGGGAGCUGCUAACACCGGUCACUGCUGCAGUGGCAUCAUGAUAUUUAAAACCUAUGACAUCAUAUAAUUCAACAAGACAGAGGAAAAGAUAAGGAGUGAUGUCACUAUGAGGAGGUGAGCAGGAGGUUGAUGCUGUAUUCAUCUCUGAGACUGUCUCAUUUGUGAACGUGAGAGCAAGAACAGAGACUGAGAGAGACAGAGAAGCACGAUGGCUGCAUUCACAUGGAUUCAGAUGUCUUCAAAUACUGAUACUGAUGCUUCAGUUUAAAGCUCUCUUAAUAUCUGCUGUUACAGUCAACGUGUGGACAAACACGAAAGGAAAAAAAAAGACAGACUGAAGAAAAAACCGCUGAGCAAAAUGAUGAGGAUGAAGAUAGACUGAACUGUGAAACAACUGGAGACUCUUCUGCUUCUGUCAGACUCCACUGAUCAACAACUCAAACAUCAUCUAACCACAUAAAUUAGCCCAUUGCUGUUGAAAACACUGUGUGUCUGUUUGUUGCUUGCUCUAAGUCUGAGACUUGCUGAGCCUUGACCCCUGUGGGACACGGUUAUUGAGGGUCAGGGUUGCUCCUCCCUGCCACUCCCUGCUGGUCACUGCCCUUGGGAACAGUCCUGAGGUCAUGCUGGGAUGGCUCUGACUCUUAACCUUUGGGGAGCUCUGUCUGCGGCCUACUUCCUUAUUUUGCUGGUGCUGUUUUUUUGUACAUUUUUGCUCGCAGGUGCAACAGGUGGUGAUCUGUUGAGUUUAACUAUGCAUGCUUUGUCCUUUUAUUUUUCUCUUUUCUUCAAUUUCCUCCCCUUAUUCUCUUUUUUUCUGCUUUUCUUUUCUCUACCUUUUCUUGCCCUGCCCUGCCUAUCAGCUAUGGUGUAGCAAAAUUACCCAUAAGGUAACGUGAACACCAAUGAAAAUAAGUGAACAUAAGAUCAAAUAAAACAGAAUAAAACAAAAUACAAAGGAAGACAGAGACAGGCUUCCUAUCAACAUUAUAUGUAGCACGUCUUCUCAAAUAAAUCUGUUUGGCACAACAGAGCAUUCAGACCAUAUUUCUCAGUGUGGAUGUUUUUGGGCAAGACAGGUUUAAAAAAAGGAACAAGCAACAGAAAAACACACUUUUGAUUUUAUCUCAUAUUAAGCUAAAACCUUUUUCAUGUGCAGUUAGCUUUAUCUAACGAGAAAAAUAACCCACAACAGUAAUCAAUAGUUUAUUUAGUUAUGAUAAACAGCAUCUUUUGUUUUUGUAAAUCUGCUGCUGAUGUUUAUUAAAGGUAAAACAGUGAGAUCAGAGUCACAGGUUCUUUAUUGUUGUUUACAUUUGUCUUAUGUGUUUGUUAGUCUUUAUAUUUCAUAUUUAUCGCUGAUCUCUGAUCUCCUCUCUCUUUUUGAGGUGGGAGAGGAGGUGAGUUUAAGGAUUUUUAGAAACAGUCACUGAUGUUAUGAUCCAAAUUAUAACCUCAAUGUUAUAUUUUUCU